UGCAGGAAGAUUAUCACCUUCUCAAAAGCACAUGGAAGAUGAAGAGAAGCAGAAUAUCUUGUACAGACAAAUUGGAUGUGUCAGUCAGUGACAGUCUGGGACUCAGAAAUCACAGGAGGAACCACCAAUGCAGCCCAUUUCUGGAAUAUUUUCACAGGCUUGAGUUUUCAGUGCAAUAAAGCCAGAGCUGCCAGAAGGAGUCCCAGAAGUGGUUUUUCAGAAUAUUUUGCCUGCCUCUUUGCCUCUGGUACCUGGGAGUGAGCACAUGACCAUCCAUCUCUUCAGGGAUUCCAAGCAGAUACUCUGGAAGAGAACUGAGGAAGAGUUAGGACAAAAGGUGUUUUAGGAAGCUGGGAACAGCACAUCAGCAGCACUAAACUGAAGCAAGCAAGC